GGGGCAGGGGAAGGGGCCGGGAGCCCCUUCUCCUGCCAUAACAGUCCCCGUUAUGGUGCCGGCUAUAUCCCUUGCGCCAUAACGGGGAUUUUGGAGACCGGGACUACAGGCUAUAGCCUGCACAAUAACGGGGAUUUUGUACUGGGGCCGGGCUAUACCCGGCACCAUAACGGGGCCGGCAUGCAAGGGUCCUUGCAACGGCGGCAUAAUAGUCCCCGUUCAAGGGUCCGAGCCCUGUUAUGGCAGGGGCUGCCAUAACGAGGACUGUUUUGUCCCUAUAAUGGGGCCAUAACAGUCCCUGUUAUGGGGCCGGCUGUAGCCCUUGCACGGGACGCAGGGCAGGGUCGGCGCAGUCUCGUUUCCUCCCUGCCAAGAACAGAUGGCUUGCCUCAUCUGUUGUGGUUACCGGUAGACUUCUGCUUUGUGGAGGGUUCGGUGAAGGCUUGUUUCUGUCCUUUCAGUGGGCUGCCGCUUUUCCGGUGGUUUGUCCGAGUUUGGUGUCCUAGGUCCUCCUAUUUCAGAGGGGCUGGG
rnacentral:lncRNA from 1 species